rnacentral:rRNA from 1 species
UACGGAGGGUGCAAGCGUUAUCCGGAUUCACUGGGCUUAAAGGGUGCGUAGGUGGGUUGGUAAGUCAGUGGUGAAAUCUCCGAGCUUAACUUGGAAACUGCCAUUGAUACUAUCAGUCUUGAAUAUUGUGGAGGUUAGCGGAAUAUGUCAUGUAGCGGUGAAAUGCUUAGAUAUGACAUAGAACACCAAUUGCGAAGGCAGCUGGCUACGCAUAUAUUGACACUGAGGCACGAAAGCGUGGGGAGCAAACAGG